AACGAACGCUGGCGGCAGGCUUAACACAUGCAAGUCGAACGAGAAGCUAGAGCUUGCUCUAGUGGAAAGUGGCAGACGGGUGAGUAACGCGUGGGAACCUACCUAGUGUACGGAAUAACUCAGGGAAACUUGAGCUAAUACCGUAUGUGCCCUUCGGGGGAAAGAGUUUAUCGCCAUUAGAUGGGCCCGCGUCAGAUUAGCUAGUUGGUGAGGUAACGGCUCACCAAGGCGACGAUCUGUAGCUGGUCUGAGAGGAUGAUCAGCCACACUGGGACUGAGACACGGCCCAGACUCCUACGGGAGGCAGCAGUGGGGAAUAUUGCACAAUGGGCGCAAGCCUGAUGCAGCCAUGCCGCGUGAGUGAUGAAGGCCUUAGGGUUGUAAAGCUCUUUCACCGGCGAAGAUAAUGACGGUAACCGGAGAAGAAGCCCCGGCUAACUUCGUG
rnacentral:rRNA from 1 species